GCCCAGUUCAAAUUUUAAAGUACUAUCCUCGGCCCAGUUCAAAUUUUAAAGUACUAUCCUCGGGCCAGUAUAUCGACUGUAUGCAGGUCUGAGUAACGUGGGCAGCCGAACAUUCCGGGCUCACAUAGGUCUCACCAGUUACAUGCCCAUAAGUCACAUAUAUAUAUAUUCCUAGCCUUAAGAGAGCAUGGAAAUUUUACAUACUCUUCUUCACUAAUCCACAUCAGAUAUAAGGCAGUAGUGCACUGGGCAUGCUGUUCGGCUUUAAAGAUGCUGUCUCUAGUAUCUAGUAUCUAGUAUCUAGAUGGCUGUCUGGUCGUGCGGUUUGCGCGCUGGACUGUCGUUCGGAUUUAUCGACGGUCGAGGGUUCAAACCCUGCCCGCUCCCAUCCCCCGUCGUCCUGCGGGAGGUUUGGACUAGGAAGUAAACUAUCUUCAACUCUGAAGGAACAUCCGAAACAUGUAAAACAUUUUACAAACAUCUGUCUUUCUCUCUCUUUCUCUCCCUCUCUGUAUAUAUAUACACAUAGCACACACAGACAUAUAUAUAUAUAUAAUGAUCAAUUAAAAAGUAAAAAAAAAAAUUAUAUUCUCUAGGUGUGUUAUCAAGGCGACUGUGUAAACAAUACUUUCACAGAUACCUGGACCAACUGUACAGUUUCCAUGUGUCAAGACUCUCUCUCAAGCCCACACUGUUCACAAACGUGUAAGACCACAUCUCUGACCCCCAUGUCCACAACGGUCACUUUGUCGACGAAAACCUCAACACUGACCACCACAACAGCUUCAGUUUGUUACGACAAUACAUCUUUUACUUACGACGGCUUACACUGCCAGGGUCUUAUGCAGCGGUCGGAAAAUCUCUGCUACAAUCAACCUGUGCAGAAGUCUUGCUGUGAGUCCUGUUCAGUACGAGCCACUACUAUUGAAGGAUGUGAAUACGGGAAUAGAGACACAACAAUCUGCCGGACUGUAACCUCAUGUAAAGAUCUUACUUAUCAAUGUUGUCAAAAAUGUAGCAGCAGCUUGGCCGUUAAAAUGGAAAUUACGUCAGCGAUCUUGAUGUACUUAAUUCAACACAUAAUUGUUUAGAAAAUUGUAAUCAAAAUAUCUACCAGGAUACCAUGUUGAAACAAUGUUGACAUAUUGUAUACUCUUAAGCGAGCUAUUCUUGUAUGUCUCUAUGCAUGUAUGUAUGUAUGUAUGAAUGUAAAUAUACAUUUUCUUUUCACAAAGUGCAUGUUUUACCAUAUAUCGUCGAGAUUAUGUAUCACUUGAUGUUUCGUACUAAAGCCCUAAUAAAUAUACAACAUGUGCUUGUAACUCGUCUGUAAGAAUGUGUUCACGAAAUGUGUGUUGUGUAGUCAUUCAGUGUAUUAAAUUGUUAUGAACAUAAUGAUAACAAAGUCGAAACCCAUGUUCGCUUAGAAUGGCUUUAAUACUCUGAAUGGUGUUGGCUGCCUCGCACUUUAACAACGUUUAUACCAUAGGGUCUACUUAUCCAGGCCAAAAGAAACAUAUCGUCACGUACGUUUUAAUUAUGGUGUGUAACUUUGAGCGUUUUCUGCAUAUAUAUUUAAAUUAUUUCUGAUAAUAGGCGUGAUAUACUUUUUCUAAAUUUAGUGUCUACCUUAUCGUCCGUACAUAGUGCAAUGGAGUAACUUAGUGGGUUCAACUCAGAUGUAGAUUUAUCUUCCAGUUAUCCAGGCUCUCGCGGAACUGACUCAACUGCUUUUUUUGUAGUCGAUGUAGAACAUGUUAAGUUUCUUUUUUUUCUACUAGGUUGGUGCAAUAUAGUAUCAUCUAUGGUUAGAUGUAAUUUACAGCCCAUCGACUCUUCAAUGCAACCUUGUUGUUCCUCUGCUUGUAGCUUAUGGGCAGAACAAAAUAUAUACGCUUAUGGGCAGAACAAAAUAUAUACAUUUUUUAUUAUCAUUAUUUUUUAUUACUAUUAAUACUAUCAUUAUUAAUUAUUAUUUUGAUUAAUUAAUAUUAAUUAUUAUUUUAAACAAAUUUCAAACUCCGGAUGACCUGUAAAAGGAAAUAUAAAAUACUAAACUCUUAAGAAACUUUGAACAAUUUAGAAACUCCCAAUUGACAUUUAAAAAAGUUAUAAACUCCUUAUGAAUUGUCAAGGGAAAUGUGAACUAAAUUCUAUGCCUCAAAUAUAUGUGCUAUUUAAAGAAUCAAAAAGAAGCAGUGUGUCAUGUGGCAAGCACAAUGACCAAUAGCUUAGAAUGUUUUACUGCUAUAAAGUUGUAAUUCUUUUACUGUUAUUAAGUUUAUAUGUUUUAUUGCUUUUUAAUUAUAGUUUCACUGCCAAUAUAAAUAAAUGUUUUACUGCAAUAAUAAUGUUUUAAUGUUUACUGUAGGCUACAGACACAAAUGACCUGUAUACCAUCUACCUUACUAGUCCACCAUUAUAACUUGAGUUAAGCCCCACUCACUAUGUCACUCUAGAAGUAGAUUUUCAAAAAUUCUACAAUUCUAGAUAUAGAAUAUCUACACUAGAAUUUACAUAGAAAAUAUAGUCUACUCAGUCUUAUCCAGAUCUUGACUAGUACAAGAGCACUAAAUUUACUGCUUUUAAUAAGUUUGAAAGUUACUGGUAUUAUAAAGUUUAAAUGUUUUAUUGUUAUAAAGUUUAAAUUUUUCACUGCUGUUAUAAAGUUUGAAUAAUUUACUGAUAUUAUACAGUUUUAAUGUUUCAUUGUUGUUAUAAAGUUUUCAUGUUUCAAUGCUAUUAUAAAGUUUUAAUGUUUCAUUGCUAUUAUGAAAUGAAAUGCUUUACUGCAAUAAUAAAAUUUAAUUCUUUACUGUUAUUGAUACAGUGUUAAUGUUUUUCUGCUAUUAUCAAGUUUGAAUACUAUAAAGUUUGAAUCUUUCACUGCUAUCCUACAAAUUGGGUACUAGGAAAUAGUUGGGGAAAAGUAAAACUGGUUGUUCAAUGUGCUGCCCACACGACACCCUUGUUAACUGUGGACCACAAAACAAAUGACCUUUUCAUCAUCUUUAGUUUUACUUGAGACCAUUAAAAAUAAAGUUAAGACCCACCUACAGCUUCAUUCUAUAAUAAGAUUUUUAAACAAGCAAUUUAUAAAAUUUCCGUUUAAAAAAAAAAAAAGCUUAACUAAAGGGGAAGAACUCUGCCCAAAAAAGUAUAUCAAUAGUGUACAAGUUAUUUCCCUGAUUUGAUAUCAAUUACAAAUAAUUAUUUGACUAGUUGUGUAUUUUUUAAAUUGAUUCAUGUUGUUGACAUUGUUUAUAUAAGUAUCUGUAAUGAUUCCCCUUGACUAAGGGAUUGAAUGUUGGAUUGUUAUGUAUCGUGUGUGUUGACAAAGUCUAAAUAAAUUCACUCAUGAAUCUGGUGUCGUUAUUUAUGGUUAUCAAGUGUAGCUUUUCUAGUUUAUUAAGUUAUAGCAUAGCGAGGUUCCGAUCCAUGAACCUCUGGGUUAUGGGCCCAGCAUGAUCCUGCUGCGCAUGUUUUGUUAGGUAGAGUAAAUAAUUAUAUAUUAUCAAAUUAAUCUGAAAAUGUGUGAGGGAAAAAAAUGUUUUAACAAUAUCAUCCAAAUCUGUGAAUACUGAAGGAUUUGUUUCCCUUGUUGGUAUCAAACAAAAUAAUUAAUUAGGCCUACCAGAUGUUUUUAUUUAUUCAUUUCUUGUCUAUGCUAAUAAAAAAUUUAACAAA